UGCGUAGGUGGCGUGGUAAGUCAGAUGUGAAAGCCCGGGGCUCAACCUCGGAAUUGCAUCCGAUACUGCCGUGCUAGAGUACUGAAGAGGUGACUAGAAUUCUCGGUGUAGCAGUGAAAUGCGUAGAUACCGAGAGGAAUACCAACGGCGAAGGCAGGUCACUGGGCAGUUACUGACACUGAGGCACGAAGGCCAGGGGAGCAAACG
rnacentral:rRNA from 1 species